GACGAACGCUGGCGGCGUGCCUAAUACAUGCAAGUAGAACGCUGAAGUAAGAGCUUGCUCUUACAGAUGAGUUGCGAACGGGUGAGUAACACGUGGGGAACCUACCUUCUAGCGGGGGAUAACACAUAGAAAUGUGUGCUAAUACCGCAUAAUAGUAUUUGAUGCAUAUCAGAUAUUUGAAAGGCGCAAUUGCGUCACUAGAAGAUGGCCCCGCGGUGCAUUAGCUAGUUGGUGAGGUAACGGCUCACCAAGGCAAUGAUGCAUAGCCGACCUGAGAGGGUGAUCGGCCACACUGGGACUGAGACACGGCCCAGACUCCUACGGGAGGCAGCAGUAGGGAAUCUUCGGCAAUGGACGCAAGUCUGACCGAGCAACGCCGCGUGAGUGAAGAAGGUUUUCGGAUCGUAAAACUCUGUUGUAAGAGAAGAACGUUGAUGAGAGUGGAAAGUUCAUCAAGUGAC
rnacentral:rRNA from 1 species